CUUGGUCACAUGCUUAUUUGUAACCUGUGUAUACUUUCAGCUUUCCCAUGGUGCUGCUCUGGUGGACAUUAAUUCUUAUAUGCCUUUAAUUUUCUUUUACACCAGGAAUGUGCCAGUGAUGAAGACCUUGGGGACAUGUCAUGUUCUCCUUUCAUCAUUGCAAAAGGAGGCAGUUUUAUUACUGCAAGGAACUUCACCAUAUGCAUUGACACCCUGCCAGUGAUACACGCAACAAACCCAUGCCAGGCAUUCCGGCUCAUGUUUUUUGCACACUUUGCGUUUAAUCUUGCGUACCCUAAGGACACAAGCCUCUGCUUGGAGUUCAUACAGCGGACCAUUGCAGGUGUCAAUCCUGGCAGGGGAACGAAGAUAGAGCGCACAAAGAAAAAACAACACUGCCUCUCCCCAAAAGUUGCUUCCCUCAUCACAUCGUUGCAAGACUUCGACUUUUAACUGUUCUGAAACUUCAAAACUUUUUCAUUACACACAGUUGGGCAACUGACCGACUAUAUUCUACUACAUCGGGCUCUUCUGUAAGUGUUUCAAUAUAUACACCAUUGUCAUUUCUUUUCAUGCACUGUGAUAAUGCAAAUGGUCUGUUUAAUGCCUUAUGCCUUCUUGCUUUUAUCUCACUGCUUCAUGCAGUACUAGUGUCAAGCAAGGCACAAUUUUCCUUAUUUGUAUUUUUGGCAUUAGUUUCAUGACCGGUUGUAUGCAUUUUAUUGUAAUACUAUUUUGAUAUGUAUAUUAUAGUUUCAAGAUUGGAACGUAUAAGCAGAGUGAAUUAAUAUUUUAUGGUUACACUGUGAUAAUACAACAGCUUGUCACAUGCCUUAUGUUUUGUUUGUAUCUCGGUGCUUAAUGCAGUACUAGUGUCAAGCAAGGCGUAGUUUGCCCAAGACACCUUCCUUAUGUAUAAACUUGUCAUUACAGUUUAGUGACUGGUUGGACUUAUUGUAAUACUACUUUCUCCAUUGUAUUAAAUAUAUUUUUAUAUUGUAGUUGUAAGGUUGAACGUACU